UUGGGAUAAACUAGGAGCCUCCCUUGCAG
rnacentral:piRNA from 1 species